rnacentral:rRNA from 1 species
UACAGAGGUCUCAAGCGUUGUUCGGAUUCAUUGGGCGUAAAGGGCGCGUAGGCGGCGGGGUAAGUCGGGUGUGAAAUCUCAGAGCUCAACUCUGAAACUGCACUCGAUACUGCUCUGCUUGAGGACUGGAGAGGAGACUGGAAUUUACGGUGUAGCAGUGAAAUGCGUAGAUAUCGUAAGGAAGACCAGUGGCGAAGGCGAGUCUCUGGACAGUUACUGACGCUGAGGCACGAAGGCCAGGGGAGCAAACGGG